rnacentral:rRNA from 1 species
AGCGAACGCUGGCGGCAGGCUUAACACAUGCAAGUCGAGCGGGCCUUUCGGGGUCAGCGGCGGACGGGUGAGUAACGCGUGGGAACGUGCCCUCUGGUUCGGAAUAACUCAGGGAAACUUGAGCUAAUACCGGAUACGCCCUUUUGGGGAAAGGCUUGCUGCCGGAGGAUCGGCCCGCGUCUGAUUAGCUAGUUGGUGAGGUAACGGCUCACCAAGGCGACGAUCAGUAGCUGGUCUGAGAGGAUGAUCAGCCACACUGGGACUGAGACACGGCCCAGACUCCUACGGGAGGCAGCAGUGGGGAAUAUUGGACAAUGGGCGCAACUGAUCCAGCCAUGCCGCGUGAGUGAUGAAGGCCUUAGGGUUGUAAAGCUCUUUUAUCCGGGACGAUAAUGACGGUACCGGAGGAAUAAGCCCCGGCUAACUUCGUGC